CAGCCGCCGCGGGAAUACGAAGGGUGCAAGCGUUACUCGGAAUUACUGGGCGUAAAGCGUGCGUAGGUGGUGGUUUAAGUCCGUUGUGAAAGCCCUGGGCUCAACCUGGGAAUUGCAGUGGAUACUGGGUCACUAGAGUGUGGUAGAGGAUAGUGGAAUUUCCGGUGUAGCAGUGAAAUGCGUAGAGAUCGGAAGGAACAUCUGUGGCGAAGGCGACUAUCUGGGCCAACACUGACACUGAGGCACGAAAGCGUGGGGAGCAAACAGGAUUAGAUACCCCUGUAGUCCCUGUCUCUCAUAC
rnacentral:rRNA from 1 species